GUUUCUUUUGUCAUGCUUGAUUAUCAGCAGCCUUUACAUUUUCCAUUCCAAACUUAUUAUAUAUCUAUAUAACUAUAAUAGUAUUUCUUUCCUGUAUUAUACUUUAAUAAUUUUCUUUUUCUUAAUUUUGUGUUAUUACUCGCAAGAGAAGGGUUCUUUUAUAGAGAGUUAGAGCAAGUCAACUGUGAAGGUUUGGGAAAUUGAUGAGAGCAAGCAUAAAUCUGGUACGGUUAAUCACACAUUGGGUUGGCCUUUGGAUCACAAGACAUAUGGGGGAUCGUUUCUGUACCACAUGAAUGAUAGACAGGAAUGCUAGCAGCAGAAGCUGCAUUUGGUGCAGUUCAUGAAUGCUUGAAUAAGGAAACCUAUUGGGAUAAUUUAAAUAUUUC